rnacentral:lncRNA from 1 species
UUAAACCCAUUGAACAUAGUGAUCCGACGUCAUGUCCCAAUUUUGAAUUCCCUGUAUUCGAAGCGGAAGAAGAUGAUGUUGAAAGGAUUCCUGAUGAGAUUUCCCGACUUCUUGAGCAAGAAAAGAAGAUCACUCAGCUGUAUCUCGAGAAUCAGUAGAACAGCCAACUGGGGCAUAUAUACACACAAAAAAAGAGGAGGGUGCAAAACAAAACAAAAAAAAUCAAAAGAAAUCAGAAGAAAGAAAAAAAGAA